UCCCUGAUAGCUCAGUUGGUAAAGAAUCUGCCUGCAAUGCAGGAGACCUUGGUUCAAUUCCUAGGUCAGGGAA
rfam:Ovis aries breed Texel chromosome 6, whole genome shotgun sequence.